AAGGAAAAGCUGAAACGAAAUGCACGAAGGAAAACACUUUGCAGAAAAGCUCAAGAAGCAACACGAUUCGCAACUCCGGUUUCUCAAAUUCGUGUUCGUGCGUUUGAAUCGGCAUUAUCACGUCGGCAAACGCAAUUCUGCACCGUCACUCAAUCUUCUCAACAAAAAUCGUAUCCUAUUUCGAUUCUCCAUGGAUCAAGUUCGCCACUUCCCAUUGAUUUCGGCGAUGGAUAAAAGGCAGGUGUUUAUAAGGGAUGUCGAUAAGUUGAAUUCAGAGUACUUACCAGAUCGGUGCGGCAGCGAAAAUCGAUACGAGUUCCUUCCUCUUCGUCGCCUUCAUUCAUACGUGAAGAAGCGAUCGAACUCUCCAAACACCAUAAAGCGUUCCCUUCUCCAUCUUGCGUCGGCAUUCAAGGAUUCGACGUCGAUGUUUAAUUGCGCUUAUGCUCACACUUUGAUUGCAUCACGGAUUCUUCACGAUCCUAAUUUUAGGAUUCCUCAUUCAUCUUAGUGUUUCAAACAACAUCGCGUUUGCUUAUAAAGGCUUUAGGUUUGCGCACGCAAAAUCAAACAGCAACGCAAGUUUAUCCUAGAAAUUGACAUUGAGUAUAGUAAGAAAUGGCGGAAAACUCACUGGAUCGAAGUCGGAGUCGGCACGACGACCUUCCUACAAACAAAUGGUGCAAUGAAUCGAACAUGGGGAUAAGGUCAAGCUCAGCCGGUUAAAGCCUCAAGGAGAGAGCUUUAAUGGCUAUGAGAAUCGAGCUCUAAGUGAGAGGUUCAAGGGGGGAAUGAGGAAGAAGACUUGAAGUGAAUUGAAGAAGAAGACUCGAAGUGAAUUGAGCAACCCCACUCAAAGUGAAAUGAGGUGAAUGCCCAAGUUGGAUGCUACUUAUGUUGGAUUGGAACGAUUGUUUGGCGUUUGUUUUCUCGGGACCUGUUAACAUACCGUUGCUCCACUUAAGUUUUCCAGGUAAGCCAUUUUAUCAAGAAUGCUCUGUUGUUAUUUUAGAACUGAUGGUUUGUUUUUGCACGACUUUGUUCAUGACAGGAAGCGACCUGCAGGUCGGUGGCCAACGGAAGCUAGGGGUCCAAACUGCAUAACUCUGCCGUGAAUGGUUUAUGAUGUAAUUUAUUUAUUGCUUAUUUUAUUGCUAAUGUUAGUUUCCUUAUUAGGAUAAGUCUGUUAAUUGGUUGUGGAAUGUGUUUAGUCCGAAAUCCAAGUUGAGAUGAAGUUGACAUUCAUUUAGUGAGUUGUUAAUUAUCUGAGUUAAUGUGCAAUUGGUUUGAAA